UACGUAGGGGGCAAGCGUUGUCCGGAUUUACUGGGCGUAAAGGGCUCGUAGGCGGCCAACUAAGUCAUACGUGAAAUCCCUCGGCUUAACCGGGGAACUGCGUCUGAUACUGGAUGGCUUGAGUUCGGGAGAGGGAGUGCGGAAUUCCAGGUGUAGCGGUGAAAUGUGUAGAUAUCUGGAGGAACACCGGUGGCGAAGGCGGCAUCCUGGACCGAUACUGACGCUGAGGAGCGAAAGCCAGGGGAGCAAACGGGG
rnacentral:rRNA from 1 species